UACGAAGGGGGCUAGCGUUGCUCGGAAUCACUGGGCGUAAAGGGUGCGUAGGCGGGUCUUUAAGUCAGGGGUGAAAUCCUGGAGCUCAACUCCAGAACUGCCUUUGACUACUGGGGAUCUCGAGUCCGGAAGAGGUGAGUGGAACUCCGAGUGUAGAGGUGAAAUUCGUAGAUAUUCGGAAGAAACACCAGUGGCGAAGGCGGCUCACUGGUCCGGUACUGACGCUGAGGUGCGAAAGCGUGGGGAGCAAACAGGG
rnacentral:rRNA from 1 species